GAUGAAGAACGUAGCGAAAUGCGAUAAGUAAUGUGAAUUGCAGAAUUCAGCGAAUCAUCGAAUCUUUGAACGCACAUUGCGCCCGCCAGUAUUCUGGCGGGCAUGCCUGUCCGAGCGUCAUUUCAACCAUCAAGCCCCCGGGCUUGUGUUGGGGACCUGCGGCUGCCCGCAGGCCCUGAAAACCAGUGGCGGGCUCGCUGUCACACCGAGCGUAGUAGCAAUCACCUCGCUCAGGGCGUGCUGCGGGUUCCGGCCGUUAAACAGCCUUACAAAACCCAAGGUUGACCUCGGAUCAGGUAGGAAGACCCGCUGAACUUAAGCAUAUCAAAAGCGGAGGA
rnacentral:misc_RNA from 1 species